AUAAGUUAAAAUAGGUGUCCAUAAAAAUGUUAUAAAGAGUUGUUUCUUGGAGAAAGCAAAACGUCAAAUUUAGUCGAUCAAAACGCCUAACCUGUGUGUAUCUGCAUCUGGAAAAUGUUUGCCGAAUUCGCUGGUUCAAGUCGCAAGAGAUCCUCAAGUAGCAGCAAGGACUUUCGGACGACGAUGAAUAGGAAGAACGAAGAUUUGUUUCCCCAAUCUAUUGUGUCAAAGAAAGAGGUGGAAAAAGGCAAAGGUCCGUUAAGUGUCACAAACUACAAAUCGGGUUCUGGUGUUGUAGAAGGAAAAAGGUUCCAAGGGGUGAAAAAUGCUAUUUGCAAUGAGAAAGGAUAUCAGUGAAGGUGUUAUAUUACCAUUUCAAGUGAUAGUAGCAGGUAAAUCGUUCCUUUAAUAGACAGUUUAAGGAAUGUAAUUUACAUUUUGUUUUCCGAUAGAAAUUGAAAACCUGAAUAGUGUAGAUGUAAAUGAUACUUAGAAUGCUCUCCCAUAUAUUGAAUGGAAAUACUUAAUUUGUGUCUGAACAUCUGUUUGUAGACAUUUUAUUGAUGCCUAAAAAAGUUUUUUUUGUUCAAUAUUGCUGUUAUAGUUCUGAUGACGGAGAAGAGGUACCCAGUGAAUUUCAGUGGGAGAAGGAAAUAGAUUUUGGUUUCGUAUCAAGCAAGAAUGUCAUGCAUUUUCCGUGCCUGAACUCCUUGAUUGGGGUAGCAAACUCCCGAUCCGGUGGCAAGUCUGACCAUGCAAACGCAAUGUAGGAGGACCAUAGCCCUUACAUACUUUGGUGUCAAAUUUCAUUCCUGGCGAAGUAAAUGAAAACAUAGCAUUGUAAGUUCGAAUGCUACUUUGAAAGUUUGAUGACUCGGGAUGACCAUGAUCAAACAGUAAUGUAUUCAAUUCAGGUGGAGGUCUUUGUAGCAUAGGCAGCACAAUUUUCCCUCCUUUGCAACAGACUGCAAAUUUUGGGACCGUUGUAUGCUUUGCCUUCCCUUUACGCUCUUGAUACCACAUUAACGCAUUACAAUGGUGGCAUUCCCAAACAGGAUUACCAAUAUCCGAAUAUUCUGCAAUUGGCAGCCAAACAUAUGUGUUAAUAAAGAAUACAAUGCAGAAAAGGAAAUAACAUGAGUUAGGUAAGAUAGGUAAAAAUAGCUAAGCAGGCAGUUAGAAACUUAGAGAACCCUGUUGAUUUGGAUUUCCAAUAGCAUCUGAAACAUCACAUUCAUCUUCAUCAGAAUUUUCAUUGUUGGAGUCUGAGUUUUCAGAACUGUCAUCCGAAGAAUAAGACGCAUUAUUCAAGUUUCCAUUGGUUGAUGUAGGUACGGUUGCAGUAGAUGUUGAAGCUCCUACAUGAUUUUGAAAAAGAUGUCGAGUAAAGCUUGUAAUCGGAGCUGGUUGUGCUUUGUUGAACAUACUCAUCAGAUUCACUCCUUGGUGUACAUCUGACCUUUUUCUCUUCAAAAUGUUUCUAUCGAUUUGAUGGCGAUCAGAUGAAACAGUGUGACAUGUGUUUGGUAAAGUUGUUGUUAGAGGUGUCGUUGUGCCUAUCGAAGGGUUUGCAAGAGGAGUGUCAUUUGCAAUAAUUGUGUUAAAGGGGUUGAUAUUUUCUUUGUUGGACCUAGAUGAUGCAUUUUUUCUAUUCAACAAAGUCAGUCUGCGUUUUUUUCUAGCAAUGGAUGCAGGUGUUUCUAAACAGCCAGGCUUUAAUGGCUCCAUAUGUAAUGGUUUGAUUAAAGUCAAUCCUAUUAAAAGUUAUGGUGUUACUUCUGCACUUUAGAAGGGUAUGAAUGUGUGAAAAAAAUCUGCUGUAGGAGAUGGUAACCGCAAGAGCUGACUUGGUGGUAUAAAAAAGAAUAUGUUGUGUAUUAAAACAAAAAGGAGAACACCUCCCAUUACAGGUGGGAGAAAAGUGAAAAUGUGGCGGGAGUCUCAAUUGUUUGGAAAAUUGGGACCAAUUUUUUGAUCUUUCACUUAUGUUGGAAAUAGUGUAUGAUAGUGUAGCAGAGAAGCUGUAUAUUUAGUAAGUGGGAAUAGUUGAGGACAAAGUGUCUAGGUUAGCUUAAUCAUACGGUGUAGCAGAGAAGCUGUACUAUUGCUCAGAAGUUUAUUAUAUUUUUAAACUAUGAUAGGAGUCAAUUUGCCUAUGGAUGGAUGGUUACUUUUUAAUAGGAUAAAAUUGUUUUAAAAAAAUGCUUGCAGCAUGAAUGUUGUUUGUUGUUUGUGGCUUUCGGGUAUUGAAAAAGGAUAAUAGUUUACCAUCAUUAUUAAUAAGACCACUUUUUGUUGCUUAACACCGCUAUUGUAUAUGUUGGCUGAGUAUUAUAAUACUUAGGCACACAUCUAAAUUCACAAACAACUUUUAAAUAGGAACUUAGCACCAUUGUAUUUCUAAUGAUAAUAUAUUGUUUAUUACAUUCCUCUUCAACAUUUGACAGCUCAGUUCAAUAUAUAAAUUUAUGCAUGACUAAUCUAGAAAGAUUUAAACUUGUUAAUAUAGGGUAAAAUGACGUCAUUCCUCCAUUGAAAAUUGAUUUUCUUAUUAAUUGUGGUUUAGUUGGAACAUACCCGCCAAAAGGGAAUUGAUUGUGGUUUAAUUGUAGUUCAAGACAGCAUCUUGAUAAAUGGUGGUGAGCAAAGAGAUUCAUCCUUAAGGGUGUUAAAUUUUGGCCACAGUAGCAUUGAUAAUGGUGGUGAGCUUUACUCUCAGUUGAUGUAUUAUUUGUACCCAGGAUUUUGAUAAAGGAAACAGUCUGGUUCUUUGAACUGGUAGGCAUUCCUCGUGCCUUAGUCUUAAAUAUUUGGCACAAGAAAUAGUAGAUUAUUUAAUAAAUAUCUGCCAUAGAAG